rnacentral:other from 1 species
GCCUGGCGUAUUCGCCAGACAGUCAGUCCUCGAGCCGAUAAUGCACCACCCGGGGAUCAUCGAACGUCGCUGUUGUGCAAGUCCGGCAUGACCGGAAAGCCUGAUGCGGCGCGAUGAUCACCACCUUGAGCCGCAGGGUUCAAGGGCGACACUGUCAGCGGUACGCUGGGUUUU